rnacentral:rRNA from 1 species
GACGAACGCUGGCGGCGUGCUUAACACAUGCAAGUCGAACGGAAAGGCCCUGCUUUUGUGGGAUGCUCGAGUGGCGAACGGGUGAGUAACACGUGAGUAACCUGCCCUUGACUUUGGGAUAACUUCAGGAAACUGGGGCUAAUACCGGAUAGGAGCUCCUGCUGCAUGGUGGGGGUUGGAAAGUUUCGGCGGUUGGGGAUGGACUCGCGGCUUAUCAGCUUGUUGGUGGGGUAGUGGCUUACCAAGGCUUUGACGGGUAGCCGGCCUGAGAGGGUGACCGGCCACAUUGGGACUGAGAUACGGCUCAGACUCCUACGGGAGGCAGCAGUGGGGAAUAUUGCACAAUGGGCGGAAGCCUGAUGCAGCAACGCCGCGUGCGGGAUGACGGCCUUCGGGUUGUAAACCGCUUUCGCCUGUGACGAAGCGUGAGUGACGGUAAUGGGUAAAGAAGCACCGGCUAACUACGUG